UGAAUUCAUGGUUUUAUGGCCUUAAUCAUCUAGCAGAUACAAUACAAACCUAUUUGACCAACAAACCCAGAAGUAACCUGGCCAGGCGCAGUGGCAUACACCUGUAAUUCCAACACAGUGGGAGGAUCUCUUGAUGCCAAGAGUGCAAGACCAGCCUGGGCAACAUAGUCAGUGGCCCGGACAAUGCUUUUGAUGAACAGAUGAUGAGUGACAAUGCAAGAUGAACUGUGACAAGGAUCCCGUGGGUUGUCAAAUGAGUUAAGAGGAAGGAAAAAUUCCUUUGGGUUGCCGAGGCCAAGACAAGCUUCAUUUCAAGCUUAGUCUUGAAGAUGAGUGGGAUUAAGAUAAAAAAUAAAGAAUGGAAAUGAGCAUGAACAAAAACGUGAUGGUGAAAGCAUAUUUGCUAUUUUCAAAAGCCAGGAGCAGUGCUAUCAGUGACAGGCAAACAGGCCUGGAAAAGAAGGUACCAAGACAAGGAUAUCUUCAAAAUACAGGCUUGAGCACUUAAUCUAAAGCCAGAAAAAAACAUUGGCUUCAACUGUCCAUCAAACUCUAUUAAAUAUAAGAAAGUUUCCUAAAUAUAUCAUUUUUCCCUGUUAGAAUUCAUUGUCUCUACUGAUUUCAAAAUCAGCAAAUAUUUAUUGUAAAAAAGAAAGAAAAAAUACUUGUUAAAAUCUAUUUCUAUAAAAACUACUGCUACUGGUUUCUCCCUAAAUGCUCGGCAGUGAGCAAAGAAAGAUACUGUUAACAUUUAGUAGCUGCUGCGGUCACCUUGGCAUAAUCGAGUGAACACAGACUUUAAUGGCAGUUUAAUUAGAUUUACCACGGGGAAGAUGUCACACAGGAGAUGCGAUGCUUCUGUAUUUAGAAACCUAUAUGAU
rnacentral:lncRNA from 10 species